GACGAACGCUGGCGGCGUGCUUAACACAUGCAAGUCGAACGGAGAGGCCCUGCUUUUGUGGGGUGCUCGAGUGGCGAACGGGUGAGUAACACGUGAGUAACCUGCCCUUGACUUUGGGAUAACUUCAGGAAACUGGGGCUAAUACCGGAUAGGAGCUCCUGCUGCAUGGUGGGGGUUGGAAAGUUUCGGCGGUUGGGGAUGGACUCGCGGCUUAUCAGGUUGUUGGUGGGGUAGUGGCUUACCAAGGCUUUGACGGGUAGCCGGCCUGAGAGGGUGACCGGCCACAUUGGGACUGAGAUACGGCCCAGACUCCUACGGGAGGCAGCAGUGGGGAAUAUUGCACAAUGGGCGGAAGCCUGAUGCAGCAACGCCGCGUGCGGGAUGACGGCCUUCGGGUUGUAAACCGCUUUCGCCUGUGACGAAGCGUGAGUGACGGUAAUGGGUAAAGAAGCACCGGCUAACUACGUG
rnacentral:rRNA from 1 species